CUUUACUGUAGCUUUGCAUUGGACUUUGACGGGACUUGUGUAGGAUAGGUGGGAGGCUGUGAGGCGUGGUCGCCAGAUCGCGCGGAGCCGACGUUGAAAUACCACCCUGGUGUCGUUGAGGUUCUAACCUUGGUCCGUGAAUCCGGAUCGGGGACCAUGCAUGGCAGGCAGUUUGACUGGGGCGGUCUCCUCCCAAAGUGUAACGGAGGAGUACGAAGGUCUUCUAAGCACGGUCGGACAUCGUGCUCAUAGUGCAAUGGCAAAAGAAGGCUUGACUGCGAGACCCACAAGUCGAGCAGGUGCGAAAGCAGGUCAUAGUGAUCCGGUGGUUCUGUAUGGAAGGGCCAUCGCUCAACGGAUAAAAGGUA
rnacentral:rRNA from 1 species